UGGGGAAUAUUGGACAAUGGGGGCAACCCUGAUCCAGCCAUGCCGCGUGGGUGAAGAAGGCCUUAGGGUUGUAAAGCCCUUUCAGCGGGGAAGAUGAUGACGGUACCCGCAGAAGAAGCCCCGGCUAACUCCGUGCCAGCAGCCGCGGUAAUACGAUGGGGGCUAGCGUUGUUCGGAAUUACUGGGCGUAAAGCGCGCGUAGGCGGACUAUUAAGUCAGGGGUGAAAUCCCGGGGCUCAACCUCGGAAUUGCCUUUGAUACUGGUAGUCUAGAGUCCGUGAGAGGUGAGUGGAACUCCGAGUGUAGAGGUGAAAUUCGUAGAUAUUCGGAAGAACGCCAGUGGCGAAGGCGGCUCACUGGCACGGUACUGACGCUGAGGUGCGAAAGCGUGGGGAGCAAACAGGAUUAGAUACCCCGGUAGUCC
rnacentral:rRNA from 1 species